UACGUAGGGUCCAAGCGUUAUCCGGAAUUACUGGGCGUAAAGCGUCUGUAGGCGGCUUUUCAAGUCGGGUGCGAAAUCUUGUGGCUCAACCAUAUAGAUGUUGCCCGAAACUGAAGAGCUAGAGAUAGGUAGAGGCAAGUGGAACUUGCGGUGUAGGAGUGACAUCCGUAGAUAUCGCAAAGAACACCAAUGGCGAAGGCAGCUUGCUGGGCCUUAUCUGACGCUCAGAGACGAAAGCGUGGGGAGCGAACGGG
rnacentral:rRNA from 1 species